rnacentral:rRNA from 1 species
AAAUUGAAGAGUUUGAUCAUGGCUCAGAUUGAACGCUGGCGGCAGGCCUAACACAUGCAAGUCGAGCGGUAACACAGGGAGCUUGCUCCCGGGUGACGAGCGGCGGACGGGUGAGUAAUGUCUGGGAAACUGCCUGAUGGAGGGGGAUAACUACUGGAAACGGUAGCUAAUACCGCAUAACGUCGCAAGACCAAAGAGGGGGACCUUCGGGCCUCUUGCCAUCAGAUGUGCCCAGAUGGGAUUAGCUAGUAGGUGGGGUAACGGCUCACCUAGGCGACGAUCCCUAGCUGGUCUGAGAGGAUGACCAGCCACACUGGAACUGAGACACGGUCCAGACUCCUACGGGAGGCAGCAGUGGGGAAUAUUGCACAAUGGGCGCAAGCCUGAUGCAGCCAUGCCGCGUGUAUGAAGAAGGCCUUCGGGUUGUAAAGUACUUUCAGCGGGGAGGAAGGCGAUAAGGUUAAUAACCUUGUCGAUUGACGUUACCCGCAGAAGAAGCACCGGCUAACUCCGUGCCAGCAGCCGCGGUAAUACGGAGGGUGCAAGCGUUAAUCGGAAUUACUGGGCGUAAAGCGCACGCAGGCGGUCUGUCAAGUCGGAUGUGAAAUCCCCGGGCUCAACCUGGGAACUGCAUUCGAAACUGGCAGGCUAGAGUCUUGUAGAGGGGGGUAGAAUUCCAGGUGUAGCGGUGAAAUGCGUAGAGAUCUGGAGGAAUACCGGUGGCGAAGGCGGCCCCCUGGACAAAGACUGACGCUCAGGUGCGAAAGCGUGGGGAGCAAACAGGAUUAGAUACCCUGGUAGUCCACGCCGUAAACGAUGUCGACUUGGAGGUUGUGCCCUUGAGGCGUGGCUUCCGGAGCUAACGCGUUAAGUCGACCGCCUGGGGAGUACGGCCGCAAGGUUAAAACUCAAAUGAAUUGACGGGGGCCCGCACAAGCGGUGGAGCAUGUGGUUUAAUUCGAUGCAACGCGAAGAACCUUACCUACUCUUGACAUCCAGAGAACUUUCCAGAGAUGGAUUGGUGCCUUCGGGAACUCUGAGACAGGUGCUGCAUGGCUGUCGUCAGCUCGUGUUGUGAAAUGUUGGGUUAAGUCCCGCAACGAGCGCAACCCUUAUCCUUUGUUGCCAGCGGUUAGGCCGGGAACUCAAAGGAGACUGCCAGUGAUAAACUGGAGGAAGGUGGGGAUGACGUCAAGUCAUCAUGGCCCUUACGAGUAGGGCUACACACGUGCUACAAUGGCGCAUACAAAGAGAAGCGACCUCGCGAGAGCAAGCGGACCUCAUAAAGUGCGUCGUAGUCCGGAUUGGAGUCUGCAACUCGACUCCAUGAAGUCGGAAUCGCUAGUAAUCGUAGAUCAGAAUGCUACGGUGAAUACGUUCCCGGGCCUUGUACACACCGCCCGUCACACCAUGGGAGUGGGUUGCAAAAGAAGUAGGUAGCUUAACCUUCGGGAGGGCGCUUACCACUUUGUGAUUCAUGACUGGGGUGAAGUCGUAACAAGGUAACCGUAGGGGAACCUGCGGUUGGAUCACCUCCUUACCUUAAAGAA